UGUAAAUAAACUGGUGGCAGAAGCAGAUUAGAACUCAGGGCCGUAUUCUUUUCCCCAGUGUCUCCUGGUGGGAUUAAAAGGGGAACCUAAAUAGGAAGGGGCACUUCAGCCACUAGAGAGGUGAAGCUAAGCCAGGGGCUUUCAUUUGGGAGGAAGGAAGGGGGUGCAGCUUCUGGGCAGAAGAGCCAUGAUCCUACGCGAGGGGGACGGAUGUGUGUGAGGUCCUGCUGGGGACCACACACCUAUGUGGUGGCCUUAUGUACCUGAGCUCAGGGGCAGAGGAAGGCAGUGGAGAGGCAUCUGGUUGGGACCCUGUGUAACAUCCUCCAGAGGCCUCCUGUUGAAUACCUUCCUUGGCCUGUAGGGCUCUCUCCGAGUUUCUCCAGCCCCUUUAGCAUGACGCUGCCAGCCUCAGGGCCUUUGCACAUUCUGUUCCCUCUGCCAAAUCACUCUCACCCCCGCUCUUCACCAGGCUGGCUCCCCGACCUCCAGCCUUCAGCCAAAUGUCACCUCCUAUGAGAGUCCUUCUCUGACCAUCCUAGGUGAAGAAUCUCCCUCAACCUUACUUUUCUACCAGCUUGUUUAUUUCCUGCAUGAUGUUUUUCACAAUUGUUCCCUGGGUUCCCCUGUUUUUCUAAAACACAUGCUGGUCUUAUUUAAUUACACUUGAAUCUCCAGAGCUGGGUGCACAGUAGGUGCUCGAUGAAUGCUUAUUGAAUGAAUAAGUGAAUAAAAAAGGAAA